rnacentral:tRNA from 1 species
GUAGAUAUAGUUUUAAUAAAAACAUUAGACUGUGGCUCUAAAAAAAUAGGUUAAAACCCUUUUAUCUGCC